UACGUAGGGUGCAAGCGUUGUCCGGAAUUAUUGGGCGUAAAGAGCUCGUAGGCGGUCUGUCGCGUCUGCUGUGAAAACUCAGGGCUUAACCCUGAGCUUGCAGUGGGUACGGGCAGACUAGAGUGCGGUAGGGGAGACUGGAAUUCCUGGUGUAGCGGUGAAAUGCGCAGGAUAUCAGGAGGAACACCGGUGGGCGAAGGCGGGUCUCUGGGCCGUACCUGACACUGAUGCGCGACAGCAUGGGGAGCAAACAGG
rnacentral:rRNA from 1 species